UGGGGAAUAUUGGACAAUGGGCGCAAGCCUGAUCCAGCCAUACCGCGUGGGUGAAGAAGGCCUUCGGGUUGUAAAGCCCUUUUGUUGGGAAAGAAAUCCUGUCGAUUAAUACUCGGUGGGGAUGACGGUACCCAAAGAAUAAGCACCGGCUAACUUCGUGCCAGCAGCCGCGGUAAUACGAAGGGUGCAAGCGUUACUCGGAAUUACUGGGCGUAAAGCGUGCGUAGGUGGUGGUUUAAGUCUGCUGUGAAAGCCCUGGGCUCAACCUGGGAAUUGCAGUGGAUACUGGAUCACUAGAGUGUGGUAGAGGGAUGCGGAAUUUCUGGUGUAGCAGUGAAAUGCGUAGAGAUCAGAAGGAACAUCCGUGGCGAAGGCGGCAUCCUGGGCCAACACUGACACUGAGGCACGAAAGCGUGGGGAGCAAACA
rnacentral:rRNA from 2 species